GGAUGCGAUCAUACCAGCACUAAUG
rnacentral:snRNA from 1 species